GUGAAUCAUCGAAUUUUUGAACGCAAAUUGCGCUUCUUGGCAUUCCGGGAAGUAUGCCUGUUUGAGAGUCAGUAUUAAUAAAAAAUCGGCUUAGUUACAAAUUGUGACGCUUUUGGAGUCUGGGCUAUCUUAAUAUUUUUGGUUAAGAGGUUUAAAAUUGAUCUAUUUAGCGUACUUUUACAUGUACAUAAAUUUUUUUUAUUCGUCUAUUCUUAAUGCUUAAAUAUUAUUAGAUGCGAUCACAUCGUGUGGU
rnacentral:misc_RNA from 1 species